rnacentral:piRNA from 1 species
UCCAUGUCGGGGGCUCGUAACUGCCUGUAU